AUAAAUAUACACACAUGGGCAUAUAGGACGGGCCGCCCCUAUUUCUUUCAAUUGGACCGAGUCCAGCCCAACUGGGCCAAACCCGACCCAAGUCACUAAAACGAUUAAGGGGGCAAGGCCCCUUCUUCAUUUCUCAGUCGAGGCAAACAAAGCCUUAGAGGGCUUUGGGGGUUUCCUUAAGAGAAACCCUAUGCCGCCACAGGGCCACCUUCUCUCUCAUGUCGUCAUUUUCGCCAUUUUUGGCAACACUGCAGGAUGGGUAAGGCUUUUACAGGCCUUGUUGGGUCAAUUUUAGGUACUGAUCGACAGGCCGAUAGACCUCCCGAGUAGGCGGAAUCGGAUACUAGCUGAUUGGUGAGCUCCCUUUCUGUUCGGAGUUGUCAGGUCCUUUGGAGUUGUCCUUUUGGAGUCCAGAUUGUAUGGUACAGUCACACAUCUCCCUAGAGGCUUUUAGACGAGUCAUGUAUAUAGUAUGAGUGUGAUAGCCUUGUAGGCUUGUAUAUGUCAAUUUGAUGUUGUUGGUUUUGUACGAUUAAAGCAGCCUCCUCGGCUGGCUCAGUUAUACAUACAUACAUACAUAUAUAUAUAUAUAUUGGGGUGUGCACCCAGUUCA